rnacentral:rRNA from 1 species
CCUACGGGAGGCAGCAGUAAGGAAUAUUGGUCAAUGGACGCAAGUCUGAACCAGCCAUGCCGCGUGAAGGAUUAAGGUCCUCUGGAUUGUAAACUUCUUUUAUCUGGGACGAAAAAAGGCGAUUCUUCGUCACUUGACGGUACCAGAUGAAUAAGCACCGGCUAACUCCGUGCCAGCAGCCGCGGUAAUACGGAGGGUGCAAGCGUUAUCCGGAUUCACUGGGUUUAAAGGGUGCGUAGGCGGGCAGGUAAGUCAGUGGUGAAAUCCUAGAGCUUAACUCUAGAACUGCCAUUGAUACUAUCUGUCUUGAAUAUUGUGGAGGUAAGCGGAAUAUGUCAUGUAGCGGUGAAAUGCUUAGAUAUGACAUAGAACACCUAUUGCGAAGGCAGCUUACUACGCAUAUAUUGACGCUGAGGCACGAAAGCGUGGGGAUCAAACAGGAUUAGAUACCCUGGUAGUCCACGCCCUAAACCGAUGAUUACUCGACAUUUGUGAUACACUAUAAGUGUCUGAGCGAAAGCAUUAAGUAAUCCACCUGGGAAGUACGACCGCAAGGUUGAAACUCAAAUGAGUAGAGNGNGAGAGNGCGAGGCGACACAGGGAGAGG